rnacentral:rRNA from 1 species
GCCAACGGCCAUACCAUGUUGAAUACAUCGGUUUUCGUCCGAUCACCGAAGUUAAGCAUCAUCGGGCGUGGUUAGUACCUGGAUGGGUGACCGUCAUUUCUUUAAAAAUGUCCAGCGUUCAGAGCC